UUCCCUAACAUCUCUCGCCUUUCGAAGCCAUUGAAGGAGAGAUACUGGGAGCGGUUCUGCGAUAGUGUCUCUCUGGUUUUGGUUCCAUGACGUCGACGUAUCUUCUCUAUGAAUCUGCUUCUGGUUAUGCUCUGUUUCAUGUCCAUGGCCUUGACGAAAUUGGGCAGAACACGGAAGCCGUUCGGAGCUCCGUCUCCGACCUUAACCGCUUCGGCAAGGUCGUGAAGCUUGCUGCUUUCCACCCUUUCGAGUCGGCUCUCGAUGCUCUCAAGCAGUGCAACUCAGUCUCUGAAGGGCUCAUGACUGACGAGUUGAGGAGUUUUUUGGAAAUUAACCUUCCAAAAGUUAAGGAAGGUAAGAAGGCCAAGUUCGUUUUGGGACUAGCUG
rnacentral:misc_RNA from 1 species